GACCCCAUCAUCUAGCGGUUAGGAUGCCAGAUUCUCAUUCUGGAAACACGGGUUCGAUUCCCGUUGGGGUUGCCA
rnacentral:tRNA from 1 species